GAAGGAAGGCACCUCACAAAGGAAGGCCUGAUAGAAAUCGUUCAGAUAGCUCUCGAGAUGAACACGGGAAAACGCGAUAAUCUGAGGCGAAUACUGGACGAUCUGACAGGGAAAGCUGGAUGAAGAUACAGUCCACCCUUGGUUCGAAAGACCAAGAUGAUGGUGAGCGAAAUACCUUGUCGGGUAAGUUCCGACCUGCAUGAAUGGCGUAACGACUGGGGCGCUGUCUCGGCGAGGGGCCCGGUGAAAUUUCAGUGAGGGUGAAGAUGCCCUCAACCUGCGGCUAGACGGAAAGACCCCGUGGAGCUUCACUGCAGCCUGGUAUUGGAUUCUGGCACACCGUGUACAGGAUAGGUGGGAGGCUGUGAACCCGGCUCGCCAGGGUCGGGGGAGCCACCGGUGGGAUACCACCCUCGGUGUGUCGGAAUUCUAACCUGAACCUGUGAAGAGCAGGUUGGGGACAGUGCCAGGUGGGCAGUUUGACUGGGGCGGUCGCCUCCUAAAGAGUAACGGAGGCGCGCGAAGGUCGGCUCAGGUGGGUUGGAAAUCCACCGUUGAGUGCAAGGGCAUAAGCCGGCCUGACUGUGAGGCCGACGGGCCGAGCAGAGGGGAAACCCGGCCCUAGUGACCCGACGACUCCGGGUGGAAGGGUCGUCGACAACGGACAAAAGUUACCCCGGGGAUAACAGGCUAGUCUCGCCCGAGAGUUCACAUCGACGGCGAGGAUCGGCACCUCGAUGUCGGCUCAUCCCAUCCUGGGGCUGAAGCAGGUCCCAAGGGUUAGGCUGUCCGCCUAUUAAAGGGGUACGUGAGCUGGGUUCAGACCGUCGCAAGACAGGUCGGUCCCUAUCGGCCGCAGGCGCAGGAGGUUUGAGGGGGGUCACCCCUUGUACGAGAGGACCGGGGUGAGCGGGCCUCUGGUGUACCGGCUGUCCUGCCAAGGGCAUUAGCCGGGUAGCUAUGCCCGUGAGCGAUAACCGCUGAAGGCAUCUAAGCGGGAAGCGCGCCCCAAGAUUAGACCUCCCAUCCCGUUAAGGGAGUAAGGCCGGUCCGAGAACAGGACCUUGAUAGGCCGGUGGUGUAAGCGCCGCAAGGCGUUGAGCCAACCGGUACUAAUCGGCCGAGGCCUUGACCUC
rnacentral:rRNA from 1 species